UCCAUGAGUGCUACGUUGGGGCCCACUUGUGUGUAUAUGGCUUUAUUCCUUGAAUGCUACUAUGUAUAGAAACUAUUUGAGUUGUAGAUAUUUUUCUCUAGAUGGCAAAUAGAACAGAUCUUCCCAAUGCCGUCUAUCAUGAUUUAAAGAUGGCAACAUCAUGUGUCACACACCACAAAUCCUCUCAACUACAUAUGUGGAGCAUAUGCUGGCUGAUUGAUCUGCAUGAUUACGCAGGCAUGCUCCACACAGUGGGGCUCAUGGUCUGGAUAGUUUUGCAUUAGUGCCACAUGUGAGGAGUAGUCACCACCAUUUUAAAUGGAGUCUGGCCCAUUACAUACGAUGAUGUGCUAUAUCACAAUAGUUUGCUUCUUUGCAUGUUUUAUACGUUCUUAUGAGUUCUAGAAUUAAACUCAAGGUUGUAUUAAUGAAUCAAAUGAUGCUGGCUCCAUAUCAAAAUUUUUGUUACUUGCAUUCCAGCGGUGUUUAAGCUCUGUCGUCUUACAGGGCAUUGGAUUGUUUAAAUUGUAACUAUUUGAAAAGGGCUUAGUUGCACGAUUCUUCUGAGUUCUAACUAGGUUGGAUUGGCUAAAAUUCUGGAUUUAUAUUAUGAAGAUCUGUACACCCUCCCUAACAAACAGUCCUCAUCUGGGUUGGUUUCGGAAAUUUCAAAAUUAUCAAAGAGUAAGAGGAGCUCUUCAUCAUUGCAAAUGCUAUCUAUUACAUUUGUUGGUGGAUGUUUUCUGGUAGCCAUUGGUAUUCUUGCUCAACUUUGGAUGAUGAUUCGGAGGAGCUAGAGAAAAGCAAUGUAUUGUUGAUGGGUCCAACUGGCUCAGGUAUGGACUCUGCUUUAUAAAGGCAUGGAAGUGUUGGUUGUCUGCUAAUUCAUUUAUCUAUCACAUUAUUCUUGGUGCUUGCCUUAAGGAUUUGUGGAUUUUUGCCUUCACGUGGACUGAGGUUCAUGAUCUUGCUUACAUACUAUAAUAUUAAUUGUAAGGACAUGGAAGACAUUGCUUGCAAAAACAUUAGCUCGCUUUGUGAAUGUGCCAUUUGUCAUUGCAGAUGCAACAACGUUAACACAGGCAAGUUCAUUUCUCAUUUUCUCAUUAGCUUCGUACAUCUACAAAAUCACUCUUUCAACUGUUUGUUGGCAUUCUGAUUUUUGUAGGAUUGCAUUUUAUAUGGUUUGACUCAUUGUUGUGAACUCAGCUGGUUGACUUGGGACUCACCCAAAUCAACUCAGAACAGCCAUAUUCUGAGUCAACUUUCAUUUGCAUUGACUUGGUAUUACUU